rnacentral:misc_RNA from 1 species
GUAUUAUAUUAAUAGCCUUGCGGCACAGAGCACGUUCAACAUUGUUAAUAGCGUAUAAUGGUUUAAGGGAAUGUGAGAAAAUCACCCAAGAGCGGCAACCAACUCAAGACUCCCUCAAAAAUGUGCACAGGUGUUUGGAAGAUGAUUGUUAGGGCAAGCACAUGCAUCCAAAAAUUGGCUGCCAGCAUCGAACCCCAUCACAACUCAUUAAUGAUCCUUCCGCAGGUUCACCUACGGAAA